rnacentral:rRNA from 1 species
UUAGAGUUUGAUCCUGGCUCAGGACGAACGCUGGCGGCGUGCUUAACACAUGCAAGUCGAGCGGAAAGGCCCUUCGGGGUACUCGAGCGGCGAACGGGUGAGUAACACGUGAGUAACCUGCCCUAGGCUUUGGGAUAACCCUCGGAAACGGGGGCUAAUACCGGAUAUUCACUUUUGACGGCAUCGUUGGGGGUGGAAAGUUUUUCGGUCUGGGAUGGGCUCGCGGCCUAUCAGCUUGUUGGUGGGGUGAUGGCCUACCAAGGCGACGACGGGUAGCCGGCCUGAGAGGGCGACCGGCCACACUGGGACUGAGACACGGCCCAGACUCCUACGGGAGGCAGCAGUGGGGAAUAUUGCACAAUGGGCGGAAGCCUGAUGCAGCGACGCCGCGUGAGGGAUGACGGCCUUCGGGUUGUAAACCUCUUUCGACAGGGACGAAGCGUGAGUGACGGUACCUGGAGAAGAAGCGCCGGCCAACUACGUGCCAGCAGCCGCGGUAAGACGUAGGGCGCGAGCGUUGUCCGGAUUUAUUGGGCGUAAAGAGCUCGUAGGCGGCUCGUUGCGUCGGCUGUGAAAACCCGCAGCUCAACUGUGGGCUUGCAGCCGAUACGGGCGGGCUAGGAUUCGGUAGGGGAGACUGGAAUUCCUGGUGUAGCGGUGAAAUGCGCAGAUAUCAGGAGGAACACCGGUGGCGAAGGCGGGUCUCUGGGCCGAUAUCGACGCUGANGAGCGAAAGCGUGGGGAGCGAACAGGAUUAGAUACCCUGGUAGUCCACGCUGUAAACGUUGGGCGCUAGGUGUGGGGGGCCUCUCCGGUUCUCUGUGCCGCAGCUAACGCAUUAAGCGCCCCGCCUGGGGAGUACGGCCGCAAGGCUAAAACUCAAANGGAAUUGACGGGGGCCCGCACNAGCGGCGGANCAUGCNNAUUAAUUCGAUGCNACGCNA